CUGGCGGCGUGCCUAAUACAUGCAAGUCGAACGAGUUCUGAUUAUUGAAAGGUGCUUGCAUCUUGAUUUAAUUUUGAACGAGUGGCGGACGGGUGAGUAACACGUGGGUAACCUGCCCUUAAGUGGGGGAUAACAUUUGGAAACAGAUGCUAAUACCGCAUAAAUCCAAAAACCGCAUGGUUCUUGGCUGAAAGAUGGCGUAAGCUAUCGCUUUUGGAUGGACCCGCGGCGUAUUAGCCAGUUGGUGAGGUAACGGCUCACCAAGGCAAUGAUACGUAGCCGAACUGAGAGGUUGAUCGGCCACAUUGGGACUGAGACACGGCCCAAACUCCUACGGGAGGCAGCAGUAGGGGAUCUUCCACAAUGGACGCAAGUCUGAUGGAGCAACGCCGCGUGAGUGAAGAAGGCUUUCGGGUCGUAAAACUCUGUUGUUGGAGAAGAAUGGUCGGCAGAGUAACUGUUGUCGGCGUGACGGUAUCCAACCAGAAAGCCACGGCUAACUACGUGCCAGCAGCCGCGGUAAUACGUAGGUGGCAAGCGUUAUCCGGAUUUAUUGGGCGUAAAGCGAGCGCAGGCGGUUUUUUAAGUCUGAUGUGAAAGCCCUCGGCUUAACCGAGGAAGUGCAUCGGAAACUGGGAAACUUGGGUGCAGAAGAGGACAGUGGAACUCCAUGUGUAGCGGUGAAAUGCGUAGAUAUAUGGAAGAACACCAGUGGCGAAGGCGGCUGUCUGGUCUGUAACUGACGCUGAGGCUCGAAAGCAUGGGUAGCGAACAGGAUUAGAUACCCUGGUAGUCCAUGCCGUAAGCGAUGAAUGCUAGGUGUUGGAGGGUUUCCGCCCUUCAGUGCCGCAGCUAACGCAUUAAGCAUUCCGCCUGGGGAGUACGACCGCAAGGUUGAAACUCAAAGGAAUUGACGGGGGCCCGCACAAGCGGUGGAGCAUGUGGUUUAAUUCGAAGCAACGCGAAGAACCUUACCAGGUCUUGACAUCUUUUGAUCACCUGAGAGAUCAGGUUUCCCCUUCGGGGGCAAAAUGACAGGUGGUGCAUGGUUGUCGUCAGCUCGUGUCGUGAGAUGUUGGGUUAAGUCCCGCAACGAGCGCAACCCUUAUGACUAGUUGCCAGCAUUUAGUUGGGCACUCUAGUAAGACUGCCGGUGACAAACCGGAGGAAGGUGGGGAUGACGUCAAAUCAUCAUGCCCCUUAUGACCUGGGCUACACACGUGCUACAAUGGAUGGUACAACGAGUUGCGAGACCGCGAGGUCAAGCUAAUCUCUUAAAGCCAUUCUCAGUUCGGACUGUAGGCUGCAACUCGCCUACACGAAGUCGGAAUCGCUAGUAAUCGCGGAUCAGCACGCCGCGGUGAAUACGUUCCCGGGCCUUGUACACACCGCCCGCCACACCAUGAGAGUUUGUAACACCCGAAGCCGGUGGCGUAACCCUUUUAGGGAGCGAGCCGUCUAAGGUGGGACAAAUGAUUAGGGUGAAGU
rnacentral:rRNA from 1 species